UGAAAUAGUGAAGGAUGAGGGAAAUCUGUGCUCACAUUAAAAAAAAAAAACAUGACUCUUGGUCUGUGCACGGAGCAUUGCUUCAUGGAGGGAUAUGUGGGACGAUGUACUAAAUUGUGCACUCUUAACUGCUAACUGAGUCACUUAAGAAGGUUUAUGAUACGUUUUUUUUUUUGUUUUGUUUUGUUUUUUUUAAACUGGAGUUAAAUAGGGUCAUGUGCAGCUGUUGUACGGUGCAGCUGUGUCCACAAUCUGAUGUUUAGUUUGGACUUGAAAUGAUCAUUAUUGCAAAUUUAUAUUGCCCAAAUUAGAAACUUUACAUGAUUGAGUUCUCUUCACUCUUAAAUUGAGGUGUAAGGUGAACCCUCUUGCAGCUCGGGUCGAAGUUCAACAGACCUGAACUUUCUCUCUAAAGCAUCAGUGCCGGACACACAUGCACGGUAAUAUCAGAGGCACAAAGAUUUUCCACGAUAAUGGGAUUGUCCAAUCAGAGGACAAACAGUAACAGAUGUUGUACAUUAGUGGAUUAUUGCACAGUGUCUUUUAUA